CUGCUCUGGUUGGGUGACCAGAAUCCAUAGCAGUGAGUAGGAAAAAAAAAAAAAAAAAACGAAAGCAAAUAAAGCGGCAUUUUCUCCAUAAUAGCUAAAUGCCAGUACUCAGGCUAUUUGACCGCUUUAUCACUUAAACUUAACUUGAUGUUCUGACCACACCUGUUCUAAAAAAUCAAAGCCACACUGGAUGUGGCUCCUGGCUUCGCGCCCGUGGUGGGCCGCGUGGCGGGGGUGGGGUUAGUGAAGCUGAAACUACAUUUCCCAGAAUUCCUCUCCCCACAGACAUCCGGUUAGCGGGGCGUGGACCUCCCGUGAGCCUUGGAAGGUCGAAGUGACGCGACAGGGGAGCCCAGAUACAGUUCAGCUUGAGGGAGCGUCCCUGGUUGCAUGGUUUGGCAGGACAAAACUGAGGACGUAAGCCCGGAAGACAUCCUCUCAGAUAACUGGGUCUGCCCUGAUGAGGGUUUUAAAAGAACCAAGAGGAGCAUUUGUCAGAGACCAUCAGCAGCCUGCAAAGCUCAAAAUAUUUACCGUCUGGCUCUUUACAGAAAAUGUUUGCUGACCCUAAUCCAAACCGCGCAGAGCUCCUGCAGGGCUGGAGAUGUGAAGGGGGCCGUGAGAUGUGAUCUGGGACAACUAGCCUCUAUUUGCUGAGCCCUCGGCCAGGUUCAGGGCAGACAGAGAUGAGCAGCACAGAGUCCUGCUAUGUGCUCUAUCCGCCCAGUCCCUGCGAGUCUGCAGAGAACUGCAUUGUGGGAAGAUCCUCCACCCCCUCAAAGGACAAGAUGCCAUGGCAACCGUGAAUGCCGGGUCUGAGUGUACCAAAUUUUCAUGCUUUUAGUUCCAAAGAAGAAAAUAAAAAAACCACCUAAAUGUGCUUCCUCUCUUCAAAGGUUAUUUUUUAUUGAGGGAAAAUAAAAACAAAGUCACAGAAUUCUUUUUUUGUAAGAUAGCUUUGGGGGCAUAGAGUGACCUUUUGAGCGGGCGGAGAGGUCCAAAUAAAAACACAAAAUGUGAAUAAAACUCUGAGAAGAUUGGAUGAGGACCAAGUAAUGCUUUUAUUUAAGAUUCCAUCCAUGCUAAGGGCCGAGGCUGAUAGAUAAACUAAUGAAUUCACAAGGCAAGUAGUUAUCGAGUGGCUGCUCUGCCUGGCACUAACCAGGCCAAGGGAAUCCAGGUGUGUGUAAGACACAAGGUUUGGUGGAGUCUCUUCUUCCAUUAGCAGAAGAAGAAAGAAAAAAUGCACGUACCUGCCGUCUCUUUUCCAGGAGCUUAGAAAAGCAGAAGCAAAUGUGAGCGGCUACUCAUUCCCUCCAGGGCCUUUUUCAUCCCAGUGGGCUAAGACAGCUUAUGUAAAAGAAGCUCCAGCACCAAGUGUGUUCCAAGUUCACAUGGGUAAUGCAGAUAAGACCUGUGUCUGGGACUCAGGAGGAUGGCCCAGUGGGCUGGAGUGAUCUGGGAGGGCUUCAAGGAGGAGGCAAGUUUUGACUUGUCCCAUAAAUGAGAGAUUUUUGUUGGGCAGAGAGAGGGAGGGCAGGUGUUCUGAGGGAAGAGUGUUGAAGGUGACACAGUUUCUCUGGGUCUCAGCAGCUGGACUGACUGGCUCCUGGACCAGGAAGCCAGGCUGGUUGUGGAUUGUGGAGCUUUAGAGGACUGGACAUUGUUCUUUAGGCAAUGAGAAGUAUGACAAGUUUUGGAAUAAAGAGGGGGUACAUACAGAACUUGGCUCCACAAAGCUCACUCUGCCAGGAGUUCACAGCGUGGGUGGAGCACUGGAGGCCAGAGCCACGUUUGGGGACGAAUGCCUUGGCUGGGUGAGAUGUGCUGCUUACUUAAGAGUGACAGGACCCUCUGUAAACCAUCUGACAACAAAAGCUGUUGUGGAAAGUCUGGAAUCACCUUGUGUCCUGCGUCUGUAGGGCAGGGGUUUCUUCUGGGGGACUGGUUUUACUAUUUCAUGUGAGGGGGUUCAGGACACAAUAGUCCACAGAUGGCACCUUGGCCUAGGGACUGUCCCCAGCUGGAGGCAUUAGAGAAAACAGCAGAAGCAGGAAGGAUACUCUGACUCCACUCCCUCCCGCCCUCCCUUCUUCCCCAAAAUAGGUCAUAAAACUCCCAUUUUUAGCACCAGAGAUGGGGAAUUGGGGAGCCAAGAAGUCUGUACAAAGAAACCUUGUUAAACUCACGCUCAUCUUCCUAUGUCUUUGCCAUGCACUCCCCCAAGCCCAAGCCCCUUUGUUUUGUCAAUUCUUCACAAAUGUAUUGUCUCUUCAUCUACAGGGUAUAAAAGCUGCCUACUCCGGUCAGUUCUCCAGGUCACCAUUCUCUUGUGACAAUUUCCAUGUACAUGUAAAAAUUCAAUAAAUUUGCCUGCUUUUCUCCUUUGUCAGUUUAAUUUUUGGACCCAGCCAGCGACCCUAAGACAGUUGAGGAAAACUCCCCCCUCCCCUUGCAGAUGUCAGUCCCUUUUGGAAAUCUCAGUGUCUGACUGUGGAGACUGCAGGAUAGCCAGUGAACUUGGCCUGAGAAAGGUCACUUCAGUGUCUGAGGAAUGGUGCUGGGCUGUAUCCACCCAGGGGAGGAGACAAGCGUAGUUUAUAUCACUCAGAAGGCUCAGAAAACCCAACUGUCAAAGCAAAUCUUGCCAUGCUGCAGGUGGGGCUAGUGCCCUGUCCAUCUGCUCUCUGGUCACUGUUUGGGGCAUGCUGGGGGCCGGCUAUGGCAGGUAUCUCCAGCUCUCCACUGGAGGGCGCUCCCUAGCACACUUGGUCAAGGCGGGCAGAAGUUAGUAUGCCCUGGGACUAGCCCUCUGCUAACCUUCAUGUUAUUACUUGAGGGAUACACACCCCACUUCCUCACCCCUGUCCCAAAGGUGGGACAACUCUGUGCCCUGUUGUAUGCUCUCUCCCAGAGUGCUCAAUGUGACAUCCCCAGUUGCCCACAGUGUGUCCCCAUUCAUCCCACCUCCUCUAUUGGUGGCUCCCCUUCCUGGCCUCACUUUCCCAUUCCUGUAGUGGGACUUCCUGGGACCACCUCUCAAAUAGACU